AACGCACAUUGCGCCCUCUGGUAUUCCGGGGGGCAUGCCUGUUCGAGCGUCAUUAUGACCAAUCACGCAAGUGGUAUUGGGGCUUGCCGUCGGCAUCCCUUAAAACUAGUGGCAGUGCUAUAGGCUCUCAGCGCAGUAAUUAUUUCGCUCUUGAGUCCUAGACACACCCGCCAAAACCCCAACUUUCUUAGGUUGACCUCGGAUCAGGUAGGGAUACCCGCUGAACUUAA
rnacentral:misc_RNA from 1 species